AAAAGUUUAAUCACAUACAACUUCAGCCUACACAAAAACUCUAAACUAUAAAACACUACUCCCCCUGGCUCUGAUACCAGUAUAAAACCCGAACAUGCGGGAAUCCAUUAUGAUACCAGUAUUGGCUCUGAUACCAGUAUUGGUAUGUGGUGUUGUUUUACUAGAUCAAUGCAAAACUUAAUCUGCCUUAGGGACCAGAUCUAACUUAGAACAGAUCAAUAUCUCGCAUGUUCGGGUUUCCAGCCGAUAUACCAAAAGGCUCAGCGAUAGUACUAGAUCUGGAUCCCAAAAAUAGUAUUCUGAUUGAAUGGAGGGAGAAAAGAAAUACAACUAAGGUCAGGGAUCUUGUCUCUAUGCCUUAGAGGAUACGUAACAGUUUAUAAAAAAAUUUAAACAUGCUUUAAAUAAAUUACAAGAAUUUAAAACAUACAAGCUUUAAAAUAUUAAACAUAUUAAACUUAAAUAUAUAUUUUUGCUUGAAUCCAAGAAACUUCUACAAUAUAGUUUUAUAGAAUAGAGAAGAUGAGAAAGUUCUGAGACAGGAAAAUUUCCUCUAAGUCUCUGAUUUUUCUCAAGAGGAGAAUACAAGAAGAAGUAGAAGAAGAGAAGUGCCCUCCCUUCUGCUCCAGCCCUCGAUUUAUAGAUUCAGAAGUGCUUUUUCUGGUGGGUGCAUGAGACAACUACUUCGAGAAACGUGCUUGUGGAGACAGCAUCUUCUGCUUUAUCACGUGGAGACAAAACUGGUGCUUUAAUCAGGACAGGAGGUGAUAUGUAUAUAUAAAGCUAGGACUAUAAGAGGUGAUGUGCCAUCAUCAUUUCUCAUCUUUUUAUAUUCUCUAUUAUCUAAUAAAUUGGUUGAGAUUAAAAAAAUAAUUACAUU
rnacentral:lncRNA from 1 species